CAGACAGAUAAUGCUAGAGCC
rnacentral:miRNA from 1 species